GACGAACGCUGGCGGCGUGCCUAAUACAUGCAAGUCGAACGAGAGCGACCGGUGCUUGCACUGGUCAAUCUAGUGGCGAACGGGUGAGUAACACGUGGGUAACCUGCCCAUCAGAGGGGGAUAACAUCCGGAAACGGAUGCUAAAACCGCAUAGGUCUUCGAGCCGCAUGGCUUGAAGAGGAAAAGAGGCGCAAGCUUCUGCUGAUGGAUGGACCCGCGGUGCAUUAGCUAGUUGGUGAGGUAACGGCUCACCAAGGCCGUGAUGCAUAGCCGACCUGAGAGGGUGAUCGGCCACAUUGUGACUGAGACACGGCCCAAACUCCUACGGGAGGCAGCAGUAGGGAAUCUUCCGCAAUGGACGCAAGUCUGACGGAGCAACGCCGCGUGAGUGAAGAAGGUUUUCGGAUCGUAAAACUCUGUUGUUAGAGAAGAACAAGUGCUAGAGUAACUGUUAGCGCCUUGACGGUAUCUAACCAGAAAGCCACGGCUAACUACGUG
rnacentral:rRNA from 1 species